GCCUAACACAUGCAAGUCGAACGGUAACAGGAAGCAGCUUGCUGCUUCGCUGACGAGUGGCGGACGGGUGAGUAAUGUCUGGGAAACUGCCUGAUGGAGGGGGAUAACUACUGGAAACGGUGGCUAAUACCGCAUAACGUCGCAAGACCAAAGAGGGGGACCUUCGGGCCUCUUGCCAUCAGAUGUGCCCAGAUGGGAUUAGCUAGUUGGUGAGGUAACGGCUCACCAAGGCGACGAUCCCUAGCUGGUCUGAGAGGAUGACCAGCCACACUGGAACUGAGACACGGUCCAGACUCCUACGGGAGGCAGCAGUGGGGAAUAUUGCACAAUGGGCGCAAGCCUGAUGCAGCCAUGCCGCGUGUAUGAAGAAGGCCUUCGGGUUGUAAAGUACUUUCAGCGGGGAGG
rnacentral:rRNA from 1 species